GCUCAUUCAUUGUAAAUAAAUUUGAUAGUAGGAAAAUAUAAAAGAGAAGAAAUAGAAAAUGAAGAACAAUAAUAGAAGGGAAAAACCUCCCUCAGCCCCGCGGCCUGCCUCGCGCGCGGCCCAGCUCCCGCUGCGGGCUUACCCCCCGCGCCCAGCCACCUCCCCGCGGCCCACCUAGCACACACGACUCAUUUCCCCAAACCCUAGCGCCUCAGCACGCCUCCUACAGCAGCCGCAGCCGCGUCCAGCCGCCGGGAGCGCCCGCGCGCCAGAGCCACGCCCAGGGCAAGUCUUCUUCUCCAGACUCCAACCGUCCGAGUUCCCUUGCCCACGUCGCCCCAAAACAGGAAUUGGCACUCCCGUUGCCUCGUCCCUCGCGUCCAGCUCCGCCAGAACCACCCACAACCGCGCCUCGCCCGUUCUCGCCCAGCUCCGGCCGCCCGCGCUGCGCAUCAACAUGCAGGGAGCCGUGCCACGCUGCUCCUCGUCGUGCCGCGCUGCAUCCUCGUGGCUGCCUUGGCUGGGCGAGCAUGCCCCUGCAGCCCCAUCCCCGCGCUCCUCCUCAGUGCGCAGCGCGGCACCCCCGGCCGUGUCCUGGCCUCCCUUGCCGAGUUGUGUUGCCGCUGUAGCCUUUUCAUCUUCUCCCUGCAAGCCUGAGCGCGCCACUGCGCUGGCCGACGAUUCGCCCAACAUCGGCCCCUCCCCAGGCGCAGUCUCCUGCACCGGUGAGCACCCUAGCGACCACGUCUCGUCUCGCUCCUCCCUGCUCCCUGCAACGCAGACCGCGUGGAGCACUGGAGCCCCCAGCCCCCACGCGUGCGUGUAUUCUUGCCCAGCCAGCCAUCUCUCCAAGCACCGUGAACAGAGGAGAGAGAGAAAAACAACCGCUCAUGUGAGGUGUUGAGGAAGAUGGAACCAAGUGUCUCAUUGGUCUGCAAGACCUUCUGUGGCCAUGUACUCUAUAGUCCUCUGCGUGGCCCCGACGCAACAGCAAUCUUGCCGUUCUCAUGCCUCGCCGUUGACUAGUCUGGUCGUCCGCUGUCGUUGCGAGAGUGCGAUCCAUUUUUGAGCUUCGAUGAAUCGACGGUCAAGCUUCGGCGACCAAAUGACCCAGUUCUUCGAGUUCUACAAAGUUGAAGACCCUGAGCAUCUGUUUGGUGAAGUCAAGUGUCCUCUGACCCUAUUAUGUCACAUUUACUUUAUAAUUCAUCAACUCGCAUACCAUGAUCAACCUAAGGAUUGACUAGCUUUUUAUUUACCUUGUCCUUGGUUACCUUUUGGGUUACUAUGGUUAGCUUCAUGCUAGCGCUUUACUUUAAUCAAUGAACAUGAUGAGAUACAAUGAUGGUACUAUGAUUUUAUUCUGGAUAUGAUGAUAUACUUGUGACAUUUAAGGGGACUCGAGCUGUUUCUCGAGUGCCUCUCCGUAAGGACCUGUUCGUUGGAUGACCGCCCGGGAAAACAGUGCAACCAUGAGGGUGGAGUGGGACGCCUUUAGCUGAGUAAUUAGAGGAACUGGGGUGUAGUUCGCUUUGCCGUUGUGCCGUUAAUGGGGCUCGGUGUAUGCGGCUCGCUCUGCUAAGGUUGGUUCGCCCCUUGGGGAGGAGUGCGGUGCAUUUAGGAAACCUAACGGGCGGCUAUAGCCCCUGGAAAUCUUUGUAAAGGCUAUGUAGUGAGACCCUGCCUAUUCACCUUGGUAGUGUUUAAGGGUUUGAUCGGCCCGAGGCAAGAGGGAAUCACGGCUUGUGGGUAAAGUGCGCAACCUCUGCAAAGUGUUAUGAAACUGAUAUAUCAGCCGUGCUCGCGGUUAUGAGCGGCCAAGGGAGCUCCAUUGAUUAGAGAUACUUGAUCAGAUAUGUUCGGAUUUCAGGUGGCAAUGAGGUUGAUGGUUCUUGGUAUUGACUCUGGUAAUGGUAAGUGGUACUCUUUCCGUUUGGAAAGGAGUACGUUUGGGUUAAUAACGUGGGUUAAAUCUAAAACUUGGCUUUCUCUACUAGUAAUAAUAAUCUGACCAACUAAAAGCAACUGCUUGACUUACCCCCACAUAAAGCUAGUCCACUAUAGCCAAACAGGAUACUUGCUGAGUAUGUUGAUGUGUACUCACCCUUGCUCUACACACCAAACCGCCCCCCAUCCCCAGGUUGUCAGCAUUGCAACCACUGCUCAGGAGAAGAUGAAGCCGUGGAAGGAGACUUCCAGGAGUUCCAAGAUUACGACGAGUUCUAGGCGUGGGUUAGCGGUAACCCCCAGUCGGCUGCCUGUGAAGGCCGUGUGUAUCUACGUUUCGUUUUCGCACUUUGAUUAUUGUAAAGACUAUGUGGAUGUCUCAGACAUAUGAUGUAAUCGACUAUUAUUCCUCUUUU